rnacentral:rRNA from 1 species
UACGAAGGGGGCUAGCGUUGCUCGGAAUUACUGGGCGUAAAGGGCGCGUAGGCGGACAGUUUAAUCAGAGGUGAAAGCCCAGGGCUCAACCUUGGAAUUGCCUUUGAUACUGGCUGUCUUGAGUACGGGAGAGGUGAGUGGAACUCCGAGUGUAGAGGUGAAAUUCGUAGAUAUUCGGAAGAACACCAGUGGCGAAGGCGACUCACUGGCCCGUUACUGACGCUGAGGCGCGAAAGCGUGGGGAGCAAACAGG